AUAAAGGCCUAAAGCGGAAGUGUCUUUAGGCAGCCAUUUUUCUCGCCGGCACCACCUAUCUGAUACAGUCAGUGAAAAAGCCGAAAAAUUACAAUUUACGGUUGUAAUUGUCCAGUUACUGAUUUGCUUUUUUAGACUAUAUUCAGAGUGACUACCCGCAAUGAGUUGGAACACACACGUUGAGAGCCUGAUGAAUGGUCCAGGUAUGAAGAUGGCAGGACUUUUUGGAAUGGACGGAAAUCCAUGGGCAAAAUCCAGCGCUUUCAACCCGACACAGCCAGAAAUAGGUCGAUUGAUUAAGCUUGUUCAAGGAAAGGACAUUGGUGGCGAAAGUAUUACGAUAUGUGGAACGAAGUACAUGUUCAGGAGUCCGGCUGAGGAUGGACUUUUAACAGUAUUAUCGUUAGGCGGCGAGGAAAAAUAUGUUUGUAAUGUCUGCCAGACAACGAAGGGAGUAAUCGUGGGAGUGUCACAGGCCUCGGUAGCAGGAGCGUCAAGAGACUAUCUAGAUAAAUAUAAGAACUAUUUGAAAGGAAUAGGAUAUUAGAGAGAAUUCAGCAUCGUUCAUAAAGUGUACAUAAAGUAUGAUCAGUUCAUUAUAUGCGGGUAAUCUGCGAUUAGUGUUAUAUUAAAGUUAUACAUUUAAAUUUCUCAUUUUAGACUUUAAGAAAGAAAUGAACAAACAUAUAAAUGCAAUUACUUUUGUUGAAAUAUUUUAGAAUUUAUUUAGUUAUUCACAGAUCAUUCAAAAUACUACUUCAGCAUUCAAACACAAAGUAGGUUUUUAUCAUGGAACAGAGAUGAUGCACAGUAUUAUGGAUUUAAGAUAUUUGAAGGGAGUGUUGUGGGUGGGGGGGUGGCUUUUCCGUAUUGAGGAAAUGUCAGAUUUUUACUUGAAUUAUUAAAACACAAUAUACAAACAAUACUCAUAUGACUUGUAAUCAUUGGUUGUCUAAAAUGUGUUAGGAAAGAACAAAACUUUUAAGUUCAUAAUACAAAGGAAUUUAUUCAUUUGUUCUGUUACUAAGGCACUACAAAGUCAUGUGACAUAAAAGAUUAAGAUUCGUGUAAUUUCAACUUUAUAUCAAACUACGUGCUGUAAACUGAAAAAACACAUACCAUAGAAAGAAUUGUUCAACAAAGACUUUUCUCUGAGCUUUAAAGACGGAAACAUUCAAACAUGAUGAAGACAUAACUGGGUGAUUGGAUGUUGUUUAGAAUCACAGACUGAUUUGGGAUGAAGAAUGACAACUGCACAGAGCUUCUUUUUUUACUCGUUCCAUUGCUAUAUUUAUUGUACCGGUACAUAGAUAUCUUCUUUAUGAAAUACUGUCUUCCUAUAGCAGAAACAUUCUGAACAAACAUAAAAGUUAUGAAUUUCUGUCCUAAAUGUGUUAAUUAUGUUUAUAUUUGUGCCAUUAUUGUCAGAACAUCCUGUGUAUGAUUUGAGUUUUUCGUUUUAAAAUGUUCUCACUGUUUUUCUCUAAGUUUCUUGAAAAGCAUAAAAAAUGCAUUGAUGUUUGAUUAAAGUUGAAAGGAAAGCUGCA